GACAGAGGGUGCAAGCGUUGUUCGGAAUCAUUGGGCGUAAAGGGUGCGUAGGCGGCGGGGCAAGUCUGAUGUGAAAUCCCGGGGCUCAACCCCGGAACUGCAUUGGAUACUGCCUUGCUAGAGUACUGGAGAGGGAACUGGAAUUUACGGUGUAGCAGUGAAAUGCGUAGAGAUCGUAAGGAAGGCCAGUGGCGAAGGCGAGUUCCUGGACAGUUACUGACGCUGAGGCACGAAGGCCAGGGGAGCAAACGGG
rnacentral:rRNA from 1 species